CACUGAUUUACUCUGAACUUUUUAUUCUACUGACCACCUUUAUAAAGCUUAUCUGAUAAAAAUAGUUGUUAUCAUAGUGACUAAUCACAUAUCAGAUAUUGCAUCCAUUGUAGAUGUAUUUAUUUACAUAUAAAGAAUAAAGAGAUAACUACAACGGCCAUUAGAUAUAUACAAUGUACAAAGUAUACUUUAUUAAGUAAAUAUUUGUAAUUUAUUACAAUGAUUAAUACAUAUUUACACUUUUGAAGGAUGUAAUGAUUUUUAGUUAACAAUGUUAUGAGAGUAAGUAAAAAUCAGCCAUUAUA